UUGGCACAGUUUCUUAAGAGAAAUAAAAAAAUAAUUAGAAUCGGUAGAUAAUGUUGCUGAGAGUAAAAUAGAAUAUCCUCUACUUAAAUCUCCAUUCUUCAUUUAAUACUCAUAAAGAUGGAAAAGGUUGAUUAGCCUGUAUCCUGGUUAGUAUUGUCUUGGAAUCUAACCUUUAUGUUAUUACAAGAAUGUUGAUUACCAGAAUCUGGUAACCCUAAGAUAUAAAUAGGAUUCCUACAUCACAUUCUCUGUGUAACAGAUCAAACAGACAAUUGUUAUCAUUCAUGUCAAUGAGAUUAACAGUGGAAUAUUAUAUAUUAAGGCAUGUACAUUUUUUAUCAGUAAAUAAGAAUGUGUACAAUAGAUGUAAAUGUAUUGAUCUGUUAAGAGUUGUCUUCCACGGCUUAUAAACAGUUAUAAACGGCCUACGGCUAAUAUCAGGUGAAUGUUUGGAAUACCUACACAUCAAGAUAGAUAUAUACAUUCCAGGUCAUCUGUUGUACCGGGAUCACCUAACGACAGGUGAAAAAAUGACAGGUCUAGAUAUAUCUACAUUUAGAGUUCUGGAGUUCUGUAUAGAAGGAAGGUUGUCACCUGUACAGGUAUAUAUAGAAUAUAAAGAAGAAUUACAGAUAUUGACUUAAAAAGGACAAACAUGUUAUUGACCAGAGAGAAGCACAGAGUUGAUGAAGAGAAAAGAAGCAUAUUGUUACUGACGGGAGAGAAGAAGCACAUAAUUGUUGAAGAGAAAAGAGGAACAGAUUGUAGGUUGAUUUAGGUUCUGUUCAGCUUCUGUCAUGCAAUCCACUAUUUAUGGUCAUGAAAUAUUAAUACUAAUUUCUGAUAAAACAGCUAACCACUUGUAAAUCUACAAAUGGGAAAUCUUUGAUGCACAAAAUUGUAUGAUGUAAUAACGUACUAUAAAACACAAUGCCUUCAUUUAUUUUGCAAGCUGCACUUUUAGUACACAAAAAAAUUGAUCAGUGGUAUGGAUUUUCAAUAAUUCAAGAGCAUGCUAUUUUGUUUGAUAUAAAUUUGUUAGAAGAGAAUUUGCAGUUUUUAGACCAUAUAAUUCAUUGCAUUCAUCUGAAAAAAAAGGCUGAAUGAGGGAUAUAUAUCAAUGAUGUAGCAAUUUUCCAACCCACUGACAUUUUAUCAAAGAGAUGAACAAACUCAAAGGUCUCAAUAGCUUCAAAUUAAGACAAAGUGUGAAAAAUGUUACUGGACUACCUAGCAAUUGACAUAGACAAAGUUGUCAGUUGACAAACAAAAACAAAGAUACCACAACAAUUACCAUCAAAAUUUAGACUUAGGACUGACUCAUUUUGUUAGCU